rnacentral:rRNA from 1 species
AACGAACGCUGGCGGCAUGCCUAACACAUGCAAGUCGAACGAGACCUUCGGGUCUAGUGGCGCACGGGUGCGUAACGCGUGGGAAUCUGCCCUUGGGUUCGGAAUAACAGCGAGAAAUUGCUGCUAAUACCGGAUGAUGACGUAAGUCCAAAGAUUUAUCGCCCAAGGAUGAGCCCGCGUAGGAUUAGCUAGUUGGUGAGGUAAAGGCUCACCAGGGCGACGAUCCUUAGCUGGUCUGAGAGGAUGAUCAGCCACACUGGGACUGAGACACGGCCCAGACUCCUACGGGAGGCAGCAGUGGGGAAUAUUGGACAAUGGGCGAAAGCCUGAUCCAGCAAUGCCGCGUGAGUGAUGAAGGCCUUAGGGUUGUAAAGCUCUUUUACCCGGGAUGAUAAUGACAGUACCGGGAGAAUAAGCUCCGGCUAACUCCGUGCCAGCAGCCGCGGUAAU